rnacentral:tRNA from 1 species
GACCGCGUAGCUCAGUUGGCAGUGCAUUCGACUAGUAUUCCAAAGGUCGUCGGUCCGAUUUCCACCGUGGUCA